GAGUCAGGUCUGGAUCCCUGUCCCUUCAUGCAGCUGCUGCCAUUUUGAUCUGCACUUCAAGCUUAAUUCCAUAGGUGCCUCUAAAUGGAUAUGUUCUGCCUUGGAUGGACAGAGGAGGGCAGAGUGAACGAGACACCCUCAGACUAAAUUUGAAAAGCCUUGGGAUGGAUGGCAAAGGUGUUACCAGGGAAACGAGUUCUAGCUUCGAGUCCCACAGGGUAAUAAGUACAAAUGAAGGCAAAAUCUCCUCUGGAGUUGCUUUUGACUCUGUUGCCUGAUGCAGUUACCUUGAAUAAUGUUUAAGGAUCCUGCUGUGAGCUCCAGCCACUGUGAAGCAUCACAAGAUUUGCAGAGUCUGGGCAAGUCCCUGUGACAGCAGCCAAGCACGGAGGAGAUUCUGUGUCUGCUGGAUUGAGAGAAGAUGAUGAAGACACUUCUGUCAUUCCCUCAGCAUCCCCGGCUGCUGUCACCACAGGUGAUACAAGAGUCACUAUAUAAAGAUGAAACAGUCAAGAGCCUUGAUGACUUCUAUGAUCCUUGUUUUCUACUUCAACUCUUCAGUGAAUUGACCAGACCAGGUUCAGCUUGACUUGUGCUCAAAGACAGGAAUGACUCCAUAGCCAUAUGUGGUGAAUUGUUAUUUUGGAGGGGGAUUUGCAAGUUUAGGGCUAAAAUAUGGUGUGUAAGAA